GACCCCGGCGCCAGGCCCAGCUCCAGGCCCGGGUCCUCCAGCUCCAGGCUCAGCUCUGGGCCCAGCUCCGGGCCCGGGUCCCUCAGCACCAGGCCCGGGUUCCCCAGCUCCAGGCCCAGCUCCAAUUCCAGGCCUCAGCCCCUGCUGCAGUUCCAGCCCCAGCUCCAGGCUCUAAGCCCAGUUCCAGCUUCAGCCCCCAGUCCCGACCCCAGCUCCAGCCCCAGACCCUGCUUCCAGGCCCAAUCCCAGCCUCAGCUCCAGCUCCAGGCCGUGCUGGUGACAACACUACACCCUGCACUUUGACUAAAAUUCAGCAAAAUGUGGUCUGUGUGUUUGCCUGGCCAUGACACAAUUGGAUCAUUCCCUGGAAUAUUUAUUGGAGUCAGAGUCAGCAUCAUCACUGUGGUUUCUCUGAGGGCAGGGGAACAAGUUCAUGGGAAGCUGUGACAAACACCUUACUCAGUGUUCACACAGCAACAUAAUUCCUGCCACAUCUAUAGAAGAAGAAUUUGCUGCCUGUGCCUGCUGGGCCUACUCUUCUUCAGGACCACGAGAUCUUCACCAGCCACUACAAAUCCUCCAAGAUGUCCAUCAAAAGAUGUUCUGAAGACCUUGCCGUGGUCCAUUUCUCUUUGUUUGCCAUUGGCAUUGCCCAACAAACCCUUUUGACUGCCACCCAAAGACAAAACACCCUUAGGACUUGGUCCUAAUUAAUUUCUCUUUCACCUACAUGUGUGGGUGUCCGGCUUUCACUGGCGAGGCGGCUGCUUGCGUUCCUCCAGACACGUGAGAGCAGUGCCCAGGGAUUAUGUCACAGCCAUGGUGUGACCUCGCACGACAAUCCUUCCUACCAGAGCCAUUGAACUUCACAUUAACUCAGCCAAACAUGUGCCUGUUCAGUCUGUGAUCAUUGUGGCCUCGCUGGGUGAGGGGGUGGGUGCUUUGUUGACAUGAAAAUAACACAGUUCACUUGCAGCAGUCAAACUCAGU
rnacentral:lncRNA from 1 species